rnacentral:rRNA from 1 species
GACGAACGCUGGCGGCGUGCUUAACACAUGCAAGUCGAACGGCAAGGCCCUGCUUUUGUGGGGUGCUCGAGUGGCGAACGGGUGAGUAACACGUGAGUAACCUGCCCUUGAUUUUGGGAUAACUUCAGGAAACUGGGGCUAAUACCGGAUAGGAGCCCCUGCUCCAUGGGGGGGGUUGGAACGUUUCGGCGGUUGGGGAUGGACUCGCGGCUUAUCAGCUUGUUGGUGGGGUAGUGGCUUACCAAGGCUUUCACGGGUAGCCGGCCUGAGAGGGUGACCGGCCACAUUGGGACUGAGAUACGGCCCAGACUCCUACGGGAGGCAGCAGUGGGGAAUAUUGCACAAUGGGCGGAAGCCUGAUGCAGCAACGCCGCGUGCGGGAUGACGGCCUUCGGGUUGUAAACCGCUUUCGCCUGUGACGAAGCGUGAGUGACGGUAAUGGGUAAAGAAGCACCGGCUAACUACGUG